CCGCCGGCGACCGGCGCACGGGUGAGUAACACGUAUGCAACCUGGCCGUGACAGAUGGAUAACCGGGAGAAAUCCCGCCUAAUACAACAUAAUGCCGGGAGGGGACAUCCCCUGCCGGCCAAAGGGGGCGACCCCGGUCACGGAUGGGCAUGCGGCGCAUUAGGUAGUUGGUGGGGCAACGGCCCACCAAGCCGACGAUGCGUAGGGGUUCUGAGAGGAAGGUCCCCCACAUUGGAACUGAGACGCGGUCCAAACUCCUACGGGAGGCAGCAG
rnacentral:rRNA from 1 species